UAAUCAGUGAAACUGAUCUCUCCGUGAAGAAGCGGGGAUACUCCUAUAAGACGAAAAGACCCCAUGGAGCUUCAAACCCAACUACACCCUUAACUACCACAACCGCACAACCUCUUAGGGCCCUGUAUAGUUGGUUUUAGGUUGGGGCGACCACGGAGUACAACCAAACCUCCGCAAUGGACGGGACCACUCCCUUAUCUAAGAGCCACACCUCUAAGAAUUAAAACACUAACAUAAAAUGAUCCAUGAUCUGAUCAAUGAACC
rnacentral:rRNA from 1 species